CCUACGGGUGACAGCAGUGAGGAAUAUUGGUCAAUGGACGCAAGUCUGAACCAGCCAUGCCGCGUGCAUGAAGACGGCCCUAUGAGUUGUAAACUGCUUUUGUACGAGGGUAAACGCAGAUACGCGUAUCUGUUUGAAUGUAUCGUAAGUAUAAGGAUCGGCUAAUGCCGGGCCAGCAGCCGCGGUAAUACGGAGGGUCCGAGCGUUAUGCGGAUUUAUUGGGUUUAAAGGGGGCGGAGGCGGUGCGAUAAGGUAGAGGUGAAAGUCCGGGGCUCAACGUCGGAAUUGCCUUGUAUACUGGUUGGCUAGAGUGUAGUAGCGGUAGGCGGAAUUCAUGGUGUAGCGGUGAAAUGCUUAGAGAUCA
rnacentral:rRNA from 1 species